ACGAAUCGCUGAUUGGCUUAAAUUGUGUUAUAUUAUAUAAUUUAAGACAAUUUAAGCCAAUCAGCGAUUCG